rnacentral:misc_RNA from 1 species
GGUUCAAAACCAGAAACACACAGAACUCCCAACACCAAUAUUAUCAAACUCUUCACUAACAAUCCAAAACCUUCCAUCAUCAUUCAAAUCCCAAAAGAACACAAAAUUAGACCUUAAAGGCUAAAACCAGCAGUUCUUGAAAAUGAACAAUAACUAUUUCAUCACCACAGAAGCACAAUAUAUGAAAUACCCAUCAAAAGAAACAUCAGCAGAAGGGUAAAGAUGUCACCUUUUUCAUUCAAAGGAGCUCCA